rnacentral:rRNA from 1 species
AGUGAACGCUGGCGGUAGGCCUAACACAUGCAAGUCGAACGGCAGCACAGUAAGAGCUUGCUCUUACGGGUGGCGAGUGGCGGACGGGUGAGGAAUGCAUCGGAAUCUACUUUUUCGUGGGGGAUAACGUAGGGAAACUUACGCUAAUACCGCAUACGACCUACGGGUGAAAGCAGGGGAUCUUCGGACCUUGCGCGAUUGAAUGAGCCGAUGUCGGAUUAGCUAGUUGGCGGGGUAAAGGCCCACCAAGGCGACGAUCCGUAGCUGGUCUGAGAGGAUGAUCAGCCACACUGGAACUGAGACACGGUCCAGACUCCUACGGGAGGCAGCAGUGGGGAAUAUUGGACAAAGGGCGCAAGCCUGAUCCAGCCAUACCGCGUGGGUGAAGAAGGCCUUCGGGUUGUAAAGCCCUUUUGUUGGGAAAGAAAAGCAGCAGGUUAAUACCCCGCUGUCCUGACGGUACCCAAAGAAUAAGCACCGGCUAACUUCGUG